AAUAGUCCUGUAUGUUAAACGAGAAGACUUUAGAUAUGAUCCAGAGUACCACGGGACACGUGAAACCCUGUGGGAAGCAGGAGGGACCACCCUCCAAGGCUAAAUACUACCUAGUGACCGAUAGCGUAUAGUACCGUGAGGGAAAGGUGAAAAGAACCCCGGGAGGGGAGUGAAAUAGAACCUGAAACCCUGCACUUACAAGCUGUGGAAGCACAUUUCUUGUGUGACCGCGUACUUUUUGUAGAACGGGCCAACGAGUUACGUUAAGUAGCAAGGUUAAGCACUUAAGGUGCGGAGCCGUAGCGAAAGCGAGUUUUAACUGAGCGUUCAGUUACUUGACGUAGACCCGAAACCGGGCGACCUACCCAUGAGCAGGAUGAAGCGAAAGUAAAAUUUCGUGGAGGUCCGAACCCACGAGCGUUGAAAAGCUCGGGGAUGACUUGUGGGUAGCGGUGAAAUUCCAAUCGAGCCCGGAGAUAGCUGGUUCUCCCCGAAAUAGCUUUAGGGCUAGCCUCAAGGUGAGAGAUACGGAGGUAGAGCACUGAAUGUCCUAGGGGGUAUUGCACCUACCGAAGACUAUCAAACUCCGAAUGCCGUCAUCUUAUACUUGGGAGUCAGACUGUGGGUGAUAAGAUUCAUAGUCGAAAGGGCAACAGCCCAGAUCGUCAGCUAAGGUCCCUAAAUGUAAGUUAAGUGGUAAAGGAUGUGGGAUUGCACAGACAACCAGGAUGUUGGCUUAGAAGCAGCCACUCAUUCAAAGAGUGCGUAAUAGCUCACUGGUCGAGUGAUCCUGCGCCGAAGAUUUCCGGGGCUAAAACUUACUACCGAAGCUACGGCAUCAGUAAUGAUGGGUAGGGGAGCUUCCCAUACGGGUUGAAGCAUGACCGUAAGGACAUGUGGACAGUAUGGGAGUGAGAAUGUUGGCAUGAGUAGCGAGAUGUGGGUGAGAAUCCCACAGGCCGUAAACCCAAGGUUUCCAGGGGAAGGUUCGUCCGCCCUGGGUUAGUCGGGACCUAAGCUGAGGCCGAAAGGCGUAGGUGAUGGACAACAGGUUGAUAUUCCUGUACUACCGAUAACCGUUUGAGAGAAGGGAUGACACAGUAGGAUAAGCUAAGCACACUGUUGGUUAUGUGUGCCCAAGCAUUGAGGCAGUCAAAGUAGGCAAA
rnacentral:rRNA from 1 species